rnacentral:rRNA from 1 species
AGUGAACGCUGGCGGUAGGCCUAACACAUGCAAGUCGAACGGCAGCACAGUAAGAGCUUGCUCUUACGGGUGGCGAGUGGCGGACGGGUGAGGAAUACAUCGGAAUCUACUUUUUCGUGGGGGAUAACGUAGGGAAACUUACGCUAAUACCGCAUACGACCUACGGGUGAAAGCAGUGGAUCUUCUGACCUUGCGCGAUUGAAUGAGCCGAUGUCGGAUUAGCUAGUUGGCGGGGUAAAGGCCCACCAAGGCGACGAUCCGUAGCUGGUCUGAGAGGAUGAUCAGCCACACUGGAACUGAGACACGGUCCAGACUCCUACGGGAGGCAGCAGUGGGGAAUAUUGGACAAUGGGCGCAAGCCUGAUCCAGCCAUACCGCGUGGGUGAAGAAGGCCUUCGGGUUGUAAAGCCCUUUUGUUGGGAAAGAAAAGCAGCAGGUUAAUACCCCGCUGUUCUGACGGUACCCAAAGAAUAAGCACCGGCUAACUUCGUG